UACGGGGGGGGCAAGCGUUGUUCGGAAUUACUGGGCGUAAAGGGUUCGUAGGUGGCUUGCUAAGUCAGACGUGAAAUCCCUCGGCUCAACCGGGGAACUGCGUCUGAGACUGGCCGAGCUUGAGGUGCAGGAGAGGAACGCAGAAUUCCAGGUGUAGCGGUGAAAUGCGUAGAUAUCUGGAGGAACACCGAUGGCGAAGGCAGGUCUCUGGGCAUUAACUGACGCUGAGGAGCGAAAGCAUGGGGAGCGAACAGG
rnacentral:rRNA from 1 species